rnacentral:lncRNA from 1 species
UGGGGAGGGGCCAGCUGCUGUGUUCAGUCCGCCAUUGCAAACACGAAGCUCUUCCAGAAACGCCCUCACAGACACCCCGGAAGUCACGUACCCACUCUGUAGGUGCCCCGGGGCACAGGCAAGCGGACGAGCCAGUUAUCCCUCAGAGCUCCUGCUGCCUCGCCCGCUUUCUCUCGGAAACGUGAAGUGUGGCCUCAGCUGAAAGUGAGGUGGGCCUCAUUCAAUCAGUUGAAUUCUUCAAGAGAGAAAAACUGAAGUCCCUUAGAAGGAAAGAGUUCUGCCUUCAGACUGUCUUUGAACUUAAGACUGUAGCGUCGACUCCUGCCGGAAUUUCCAGCCUGCUGGCCAGCUCUGCAGAUUCACACUUGCCAGCCUCCACAAUCGCAGCUGAGGCGGAGGAACCCUAAGGGCUCAUUGAGAUCAUGGAUUUGCCCUUCUAUGCAUUGAUGGAGCACCUGCUGCCCACAGCGUCUGUAUUUGGUGCUGGGAUGCUGAGGACACUGAGAUCUUCAAACAGAGGCUGCCACUCUAAGCAAACAGAUCCCGAGCCCUGGACUCUGAAGCUUGGGCCCAGUUCUCCUUUUCUCCGGGUUUCAGAUCCCACUGUGAAGUGAGGGGGCCCUUCUGAUUCAGGACCCGGGGAAGCCAGGGGCAUGAGCAUCGGUGCCUCUUCUCUAUUUCAAGGACCCUUCUGGGUGUAAAGUUCUCUGAGAUGCCUUACAUGGAUUCCCACCACUGCAAGAUAACCAUCGUAUGUAAAGUGUUAUGACCAGCAGAGCGUAAUUGAAGUGCAUUCCAGAGGGAAAGACAGCGGCUCAGAAAAGCGUGUGUAGCUGUGACAUAGUUCACAUUCCACAACCACUGAAGGGUUGAAACAUGAACUUGAAAGUAAAUAGCUUUGUGGAGAUUCACAUCGAGGAGCACUGUGCAGUCAUUCAGAAGAAUAAACUCCAGCUCUGCCCGGUGAUGGCAGGGGUGUUAACAAUGCAGUAUUGAGCUCAAAAAGUAACUUGCUAAAAGGUGUGUUUGAUGAAAUUUAUUUUUGCAAAACAAUUACACAGGAUAAAGCCUGCAUUUUUGUGUGUA